AGAAUUCGUAAAUUAUAGUACAGAUGAGCAAAUGGACAAAUUGCCUCUAUGAGGAACAGAAAGUUGAACAAAAUGAUGAAGAUGGUGAGCAACACUACGGCAUCUAAAGCAGGCCGAGGUCGGUAAUGGUGACAAGUGGAUUAUUUUCUGUAUCUGUGUGACAUCACUAUGGCACCUGUAAUAUAAUGUACACUUGCCAAAUAUUUGGUUGAGUGGGACAAAUACAGAGGAAGAGGAGGAAGAUGAAACAGAGAAUGGCUGCAAACUUUAUGGAUAAGGGAAGAGAACUUUUGAUUUUUUUUUUUUCCCUCCUUAUGCUGGGAACUUGGGAUUGAGAAUUAACAUUGGCGACCCCUGCGGCAGGAAAGUGCACCAGCACUUGAAGUAAUGGCGCCAACCAUGGAAGAGGACUUGGCCCCUAAGCUUGAAGCCCGGGCAUAGCUGGCUGAAGCUCCAGCCCCUGAUGAGGUGAAGUAGGCUCCAUUUAGCAUG
rnacentral:misc_RNA from 1 species